GUGUGUGUGUGUGUGUGUGUGUGUGUGUGUGUGUGUGUGUGUGUGUGUGUGUGUUUGUGUGGCAUUAUUACUUUUCCAGACAUCAAAUUUACUGAAAUUACUUACAUUUACAGGGAGUGUCGACGUAAAAAAUGUGGACGGUUGAGAAGAAGUGUUAGGACUGAGUCAGUUUUCUCACAAUCACACUGCAGUCUAUUCACAUGGAUGAAGUAUAUACAUAGAUUUGCACAGGGUUUACGUCUACGGCAAGUAGACAUGCUUCAAGAUGGCAUUGCAAAGAGCACAGCAACUCUCUCCAUGAUGUCAAAGAAACUCAGAAGAGUUUGUUUAAAAAGCCUAAAAAAGCACCAAAAGAAAACGAAGCAAAGAGUUGGUGGAGUUAAUGUCCUUGUUCACAUUGAUGAGAGCAAGUUCUGCCACAAACGCAAGUAUGCAAGAGGACGCUUUGGUAACACCUGGAAGAGAAAGAGAUCAUGGGUGUUUGGUAUACUUGAGAUCAAAUCUGCAAGACGACGUCCCAUUCUUCGUCUUGUGAAGAAAAGAAACAAGGAGACCCUUGUUCCCAUC